GNAGGNGGCAAGCGUNAUCCGGAANNANUGGGCGUAAAGAGGGAGCAGGCGGCAGCAAGGGUCUGUGGUGAAAGACUGAAGCUNAACUUCAGUAAGCCANAGAAACCGGGCAGCUAGAGUGCAGGAGAGGAUCGUGGAAUUUCCAUGUGUAGCGGUGAAAUGCGUAGAUANAUGGAGGAACACCAGUGGCGAAGGCGACGAUCUGGCCUGCAACUGACGCUCAGUCCCGAAAGCGUGGGGAGCAAAUAGGAUUAGAUACCCUAGUAGUCCACGCCGUAAACGAUGAGUACUAAGUGUUGGGAGUCAAAUCUCAGUGCUGCAGUUUAACGCAGUAAGUACUCCGCCUGAGUAGUACGUUCGCAAGAAUGAAACUCAAAG
rnacentral:rRNA from 1 species